GACGAACCGUGCGAACGUUGUUCGGAUUCACUGGGCUUAAAGGGCGCGUAGGCGGGCGACCAAGUCAGGGGUGAAAUCUUUCGGCCCAACCGGAAAAGUGCCCCUGAUACUGGCCGCCUCGAGGGGGGUAGGGGCAUGCGGAACUUCCGGUGGAGCGGUGAAAUGCGUAGAUAUCGGAAGGAACGCCGGUGGCGAAAGCGGCGUGCUGGACCCCUUCUGACGCUGAGGCGCGAAAGCCAGGGGAGCAAACGGG
rnacentral:rRNA from 1 species